rnacentral:rRNA from 1 species
AACGAACGCUGGCGGCAGGCCUAACACAUGCAAGUCGAACGCGCUAGCAAUAGGGAGUGGCAGACGGGUGAGUAACACGUGGGAACGUGCCCUUCGGUUCGGAAUAACUCAGGGAAACUUGAGCUAAUACCGGAUAAGUGCGAGAGCAGAAAGAUUUAUCGCCGAAGGAUCGGCCCGCGUCCGAUUAGCUAGUUGGUGAGGUAAUGGCUCACCAAGGCGACGAUCGGUAGCUGGUCUGAGAGGAUGACCAGCCACACUGGGACUGAGACACGGCCCAGACUCCUACGGGAGGCAGAAGUGGGUAAUAUUGGACAAUGGGCGCAAGCCUGAUCCAGCCAUGCCGCGUGAGUGAUGAAGGCCCUAGGGUUGUAAAGCUCUUUCGCCAGGGACGAUAAUGACGGUACCUGGAUAAGAAGCCCCGGCUAACUUCGUGCCAGCCGCCGCCGUAA